GAUGAACGCUGGCGGCGUGCCUAAUACAUGCAAGUCGAGCGAAGCGGGGACGGGUGAGUAACACGUGGAUAACCUCCUAUAAGACUGGGAUAACUUAGGGAAACCGGAGCUAAACCGGAUAAUUAUAGAUGGAUCAGCGAUGCAUUAGCUAGUUGGUAAGGUAACGGCUUACCAAGGCAACGAUGCAUAGCCGACCUGAGGGGGUGAUCGGGCAAAUGGGAACUGAGACACGGUCCAGAGUCCGACGGGAGGCAGCAGUAGGGAAUCGUCCGCAAUGGGCGAAAGCCGGACGGAGCAACGCCGCGUGGGUUAUGAAGGUCUUCGGAUCGUAAAACUCUUUUAGUAGGGAAGCGGUACCUAAUCAGAAAGCCACGGCUAACUACGUGCCAGCAGCCGCGGUAAUAC
rnacentral:rRNA from 1 species